rnacentral:rRNA from 1 species
GAUGAACGCUGGCGGCGUGCCUAUUCCUGCCAGUCGAACGCUGAAGGAAGGAGCUUGCUCUUUCCGGAAGAGUUGCGAACGGGUGAGUAACGCGUAGGUAACCUGCCUGGUAGCGGGGGAUAACUAUUGGAAACGAUAGCUAAUACCGCAUAACAGUAGAUGUUGCAUGACAACUAUUUGAAAGGGGCAAUUGCUCCACUACCAGAUGGACCUGCGUUGUAUUAGCUAGUUGGUGAGGUAACGGCUCACCAAGGCGACGAUACAUAGCCGACCUGAGAGGGUGAUCGGCCACACUGGGACUGAGACACGGCCCAGACUCCUACGGGAGGCAGCAGUAGGGAAUCUUCGGCAAUGGACGGAAGUCUGACCGAGCAACGCCGCGUGAGUGAAGAAGGUUUUCGGAUCGUAAAGCUCGGUUGUAAGAGAAGAACGAGUGUGAGAGUGGAAAGUUCACACUGUGACGGUAUCUUACCAGAAAGGGACGGCUAACUACGUG